CUAGAGGUCGGGCCGGGGCUGGGGGCGGGCCGGGGCUGGGGGCGCGCCUGCUCCGGGUCGGUCGCGGCACGGGCGGUCGGUGGAAGGGGCGCGGCUAGAGCCGGCUGCCCCGCCCGUACCCGUGCACGCACAGCGCCGGGUCGCGCACGCACCCCUUCGGGUCGUGCGGCGCGAGGCCGCUGCGCCGCGCCCGGGGGAGCGCGUCCGCGGCGGCGGCGCCCCGGUUCCCGGCGUCCUUCCGCGGGAGGGCGCGGCGGAGGUACCUCUGGUAGGUCCUCCGGCUCCCGGGGGGGCUGGGGAGGCGGCGGCGGCGGCGUAGCCGGAGGCCACUGACGGCCUGGAUGUCGUUGGGCCGGAAGGUUCAGUGGCCCUCGUACCUCCUCCGGACCAUGCUGAGGAAGCGGUAGUCGCUCAGUCUGCCGCUCCUGCUAAAGGUGUCGCACGUUCUGCUACGGAAAAGUGAGUUGCCGAAGCUCUUGCUUCGCCGUAACCCAUGCUCCCUGCGGUUACCGCCCUCGAAGUUACCUCGACUUGUGGGGGUAUCCUUCGGUUCCAGGUCACUCGACGGCUUCCCCGUAAACCUCUUGCCACGCUCCGGGAGACGAUCGGUACUCCUACCCCGCUCACAAAGUCCGCCACGAUCGGGUUCAUCACCUCCCUAUGACCUGUUAACGCCAGAGGACGGUUUAUUGACAAACGGUACAUACCGGAGACGACAACCACACUUACUCUUCUUCUCCCGCGAAAGGUGUUCGGGCUGAGUAAGCUACUUCUACGGAAGCAACUUCGAGAGCAAGUUCUUCUUCAGACCCCUUCGGUUGGGCAGCAGGUGUGACAACAGAUGUUUCCUAAAGGAACUUUCCGGAUAUCGUCCAAGAGUUCAUGUCAAUACAAACGACCUUUUCUUUCACGACUUAUCGACCAGAGUAUAACUAGGACCAUGUAAGUCUCAGGCCCCUAGAUUGAUAGAAUCCCUAUUUUUCUUUCUCGAACGAGUUUUAACACGCCGCAUGAUAGGUAAACCUCAACUACAUAUGAACAGCGGCGUUUUUGAGGUAGUAUAUAGAGCUAAACAGUUCGAAGGACUAUAAGUUUGGAGGUCGUUUGAGGGUGGAGAAAACCACCAGUUACAUGUCCAAGGUGAUAUAGGACGAAGUGAGAAAGUCUUACUUUGGCUACCCCUUCCGUACUCGAAACAAAACAUAAAAUCCGAAAGGCUUCCAAUGAGUUUUCUCGAAAGUGGGAAUAAGUAUCUCUUAUAGUCUUCCAACCAACUACUACUACAUCUUUUUUAUUUUCCUAAAGGAUACCUUUGUUCAUAUAGUAAAGCCCUUGCCGACUUCUAUGAACCUGCCCACCGAUUAGACCUCCUGGAAGGAAAUUCACGGCGCCUCUCCUUCGAUUACGUACGUAUGUUGCUCUUCGGACACGAAAGAUCUGGAGUCGUAGUCAAAAAGGACCCACUAUUGAUGAAACUCCAACUGUAACUGUACGUAUCUAAACCGAUGUAGAGUUCCUUUCCAAAGCUCUGUAAGGACCUGUCCGAUUUUUAUACGUACGAUCUACAACCCGAUUGGUAGGUCCCUUUGUUUGGGCUUCUUAACGGACUCGUCCAGAACACGACACAAUCCAACUUGCCCUAUCUAAUACGUUUCAUAGUCGGUGACUACUGUUUGCCACGGACUUGAACCACUGAACGUUCCUGGUCGAUUGGUAACAAACAAACCCUAGACCCUCCACCGGACUAGUACGGUUCCGCGCCGCCGCUCCGGGGAGCUCCAAAGGCCGGUCCUUUGGCCUCCGCCUGAGAGGAGCAGCCAAGUGGCGGCACUCUUCGAUCGCGCUCGCCGACGUACAUUUUAGACAUAUAGCAAUGUACUCGAGACUGACGGAGACGACGACAACAACGACGGGCACUAAGACCUCGAUCAUUUAUACCGAUUAAACGGGCACCUUACCAUCCAAAGCUACGCGGCGGAGCUGCUCUUUAUCCAAGCCAGCCCGCGUGGACCUUGUACUCCUCCUGGACACCACUUGCGCUCGACGAACGCUACCACACCUUACAACUCGUGGCCUCCGCAACACAUUCACAUUGGGUAUGGGAGUGUACUGGAGUGUACUCUGCUUUUUAUUACCUCGUACAAGACGUUCG
rnacentral:rRNA from 1 species